rnacentral:RNase_P_RNA from 1 species
CGAGUCGGCGGGGCGACCGCGUCGGCGGGCGCCAGCCCGCCGCCGAGGAAAGUCCGGACUCCACAGGGCAGGGUGGUUGUUAACGGCAACCCGGGGCGACCCGCGGGACAGUGCCACAGAGAACAGACCGCCCGGCUGCUCCUCGAGCGGCCGGGUAAGGGUGAAACGGUGGUGUAAGAGACCACCAGCACCCCGGGUGACCGGGGUGGCUAGGUAAACCCCACCCGGAGCAAGGCCAAAAGGGCGCCGCGCGCGGUGCCUGCGCAGGCGAUCGAGGGCUGCCCGCCCGAGCCUGCGGGUAGGCCGCUGGAGCCUGCCGGCAACGGCAGGCCGAGAUGGAUGGUCGCUGCCCGGCGCAAGCCGGGUACAGGAUCCGGCUUACAAGCCGACUCGUUCG